CACGUAGGGUGCGAGCGUUGUCCGGAAUUAUUGGGCGUAAAGAGCUCGUAGGCGGUCUGUUGCGUCGGCUGUGAAAACCCGAGGCUCAACCUCGGGCCUGCAGCCGAUACGGGCAGACUAGAGUUCGGCAGGGGAGACUGGAAUUCCUGGUGUAGCGGUGAAAUGCGCAGAUAUCAGGAGGAACACCGGUGGCGAAGGCGGGUCUCUGGGCCGAUACUGACGCUGAGGCGCGAAAGCCAGGGGAGCAAACGGG
rnacentral:rRNA from 1 species